GAUGAACGCUAGCGGGAGGCUUAAUACAUGCAAGUCGGACGGUAACAGGUCUUCGGAUGCUGACGAGUGGCGCACGGGUGAGUAACGCGUACACAACCUACCUUUAACAGAGGGAUAGCCCUGGGAAACUGGGAAUAAUACCUCAUAGUAUUAUUGAACUGCAUGGUUUAAUAAUUAAAGUGUUAGCGGUUAAAGAUGGGUGUGCGUGCCAUUAGAUAGUUGGUGAGGUAACGGCUCACCAAGUCAACGAUGGCUAGGGGGCGUGAGAGCGUGAUCCCCCACACGGGUACUGAGACACGGACCCGACUCCUACGGGAGGCAGCAGUAAGGAAUAUUGGACAAUGGACGAAAGUCUGAUCCAGCCAUCCCGCGUGCAGGAUGACGGCCCUAUGGGUUGUAAACUGCUUUUAUGAGAGAAGAAACGCCUUGAUUUAUUUAGGGUCUGACGGUAUCUCAUGAAUAAGCACCGGCUAACUCCG
rnacentral:rRNA from 1 species